CGAUAAGCGCGGCUGGGGAAAGCGCCUUUCUGGGUACUCAAAGCGCUUUACAUACAGAAGGGGGAAUCUCCUCAACCACCACCAAUGUGCAGCAUCCACCUGGAUGAUACGACGGCAGCCAUAUUGCGCCAGAACACCCACCACACACCAGCUUACACCAGAAUAAAAAGUGGUCUAAGGAAUCUCUGUUGUCCGGUCUCCUUAAAUUGCCAACACAACGCAGAGCGAAGGUGCAGACCGGUCACAUGUGCACCAAACCCAUCUGGUGGGUUUGCUGCCAAAGAGCUCUUUUUUUAGUUUCAUCUGACCAUAGAACCAGGUCCCUUUUGAAUUUCCAGUCGUGUCUGACAACUGAAUAUGCUGGAGAUUGUUUCUGGAUGAGAGCAGAGGAUUUUUCUUGAAACCCUCCCGAACAACUUGUGGGGAUGUAGGUGCUGUUUGAUAAUUUUUUUUUAGGCUUUCUGAGACUCAAGACUCAACUAAUCUCUGCAAUUCUCCAGCUGUGAUCCUUGGAGAGUCUUUGUCCACUCAAACUCUCCUCCUCACCGCGCAUUAGGACGAUUUAGACACACGUCCUCUUCCAGACAGAUUUGUAACAUCUUUAGUUGAUUGGAACUUCUUAAUUAUUGCCUUGAUGGUGGAAAUGGGGAUUUUCAAUGUGUUAGCUUUUUUCUUAUAGCCAUUUUCUAUUUUGUGAAGCUCAACAAUCUUUUGCUGCACAUCAGAACUAUAUUCUUUGGUUUUUCUCAUUGUGUUGAAUGAUUAAGGGAAUUUGGCCUUUGUGUUUACACAUAUUUGUACUCCUGUGGAACAGGAAGUCAUGGCUGGACAAUUUCAUGCUCCUAGUCACCCUGGUGUGCUAAAAAAAAUGUAAAUAUGAAUGGGAAUAUACUUCAGAGAUAUUUUACUCAUAAGAAUUUCUAGGGGUGCUAAUAAUUGUGGCCAACAUGUAUUGGAGAAAAACAUUUAUUUCAUAAUGUGAGUUUCCCCCCACUUUCAAUCAUUUUACUUUGAUAAAAUGUUAGAAUUUUGUGAAUUUUUUUGAAUGAAAGAGCAGAAGGAUAAACAAUGCAGAUUUAUUUUCACAGCCGUCUUUGCUCAUAUUUACUAAAGGUGCCAAUAAUUGUGGAGGGCACUAAUAUUAUAUAAUAUAUAUAUAUAUACAUACACACACACC